rnacentral:rRNA from 1 species
AGUGAACGCUGGCGGUAGGCCUAACACAUGCAAGUCGAACGGCAGCACAGGAGAGCUUGCUCUCUGGGUGGCGAGUGGCGGACGGGGGAGGAAUACAUCGGAAUCUACUCUGUCGUGGGGGAUAACGUAGGGAAACUUACGCUAAUACCGCAUACGACCUACGGGUGAAAGCAGGGGACCUUCGGGCCUUGCGCGAUUGAAUGAGCCGGUGUCGGAUUAGCUAGUUGGCGGGGUAAAGGCCCACCAAGGCGACGAUCCGUAGCUGGUCCGAGAGGAUGAUCAGCCACACUGGAACUGAGACACGGUCCAGACUCCUACGGGAGGCAGCAGUGGGGAAUAUUGGACAAUGGGCGCAAGCCUGAUCCAGCCAUACCGCGUGGGUGAAGAAGGCCUUCGGGUUGUAAAGCCCUUUUGUUGGGAAAGAAAUCCAGCUGGCUAAUACCCGGUUGGGAUGACGGUACCCAAAGAAUAAGCACCGGCUAACUUCGUGCCAGCCGCCGCCGUAA